GCCAGACUCCUACGGGAGGCAGCAGUGGGGAAUAUUGCACAAUGGGGGAAACCCUGAUGCAGCGACGCCGCGUGAGUGAAGAAGUAUUUCGGUAUGUAAAGCUCUAUCAGCAGGGAAGAAAAUGACGGUACCUGAUUAAGAAGCCCCGGCUAACUACGUGCCAGCAGCCGCGGUAAUACGUAGGGGGCAAGCGUUAUCCGGAUUUACUGGGUGUAAAGGGAGCGUAGACGGCAGCACAAGUCUGGAGUGAAAUGCCGGGGCUUAACCCCGGAACUGCUUUGGAAACUGUGCAGCUAGAGUGCAGGAGAGGUAAGUGGAAUUCCUAGUGUAGCGGCGAAAUGCGUAGAUAUUAGGAGGAACACCAGUGGCGAAGGCGGCUUACUGGACUGUAACUGACGUUGAGGCUCGAAAGCGUGGGGAGCAAA
rnacentral:rRNA from 1 species